AAUGCGCUGCUCCAUGGGCCUUGGACCACUGCUGGGUACAUCUUCUUGGAUAGGCAGAAUUUGAGAUUGAUGGUAUAUACUUCAUUCUGAAGGGUUGUCGCUUUUUCUCUCCAUCUUGUUUCUCUUGUGGGGUGGCGACUUUUUGUUGCUCCCUCAGGAAUUUGAAGCCUGUGGGUAGAGUUUGCAUAGUGUAUAUAGAAGUUUCUUCAGCGGACACUCUUCUGUCCACUUCCCUUGACUUAUGUG